rnacentral:tRNA from 1 species
GCGGGUGUAGCUCAAUCGGACAGAGCGGCAGUUUCCUAAACUGUAGGUUGCUGGUUCGAUCCCAGUCUCCCGCACCA